rnacentral:misc_RNA from 1 species
GCGAACAAAUUACACAGGAAGUCAGCCGGCUGGUUAGAGCAAAUGCUUCACAUAUCCGAUCUCAAAUGGGAUGGCGAACUAUUACUCAGUUACUUUCUAUAACAGCUAGACAUCCAGAAGCUUCGGAAGCAGGAUUUGAUGUCCUAGGUUUCAUCAUGUCUGAUGGAUCCCAUUUGUCUCCGGCUAAUUUUGUUCUUUGCAUUGAUGUAGCAAG